GUCUCUGUGGCAAAAGAGUGGAAAGAGCUCCGAGUAGUGGUGACAGACCUAUCGAACCUAGUUAUAGCUGGUUGCCUGAGAGAUGGAUAAGAGUUCAGCCUCAUGGCUUCUUCCCAAACCAUGGGAGUUAAUCAAAGGAGGCCCAGCUCCUUUGAUAAAAGACACAACUUUCAUAGGAGGGUAUAGAUCAUACUUCCCCUAAGGCUCAGUGUCCUGGUGGGCCUAAGAGCAGCCAUCCAUAUAAAAAGCGUUAAAGCUCAAACACGUAAUAAUGAUAAUUACAUCUCAACCCCCUUAAACCCUAUCAGGCCGUUCCAUACCUCUAUGGAAGCGAUUAUGCUAGAAUUAGUAAUAAGAGGGGACCCUCUCCCAGCACACGUGUUCCUCGACCCGGACCAACCAUCGAACUUUAACGGCCCCCAUAGCAGAGGGAAGUGAUUAACAACAAGACAAACACUCACCGUUGACCCUACACAGGAGUGCCCCUUGGGAAAGACCAAAAGAAAAAGAAGGAACUCGGCAAACAAGCCUCGCCUGUUUACCAAAAACACCGCCUCUUG
rnacentral:rRNA from 1 species